AUAGUCCUUCCCACCCUCCAAUAGUGCGCUGUCUGCCUUCCCAGCUUUCCUGUAAUGCCUGCGCGUGCGCACGGAUCUCCCUGACGCAAGCACAGGCUUAAAUGGCCCGAGAGAUGGGGCUGGCAGCUGACACGCCUGACCUACCCGGGAAUAAGGUUCGGAGGGAGGUACAGGUGAUGAGAAGACAGUGCCGCACUCCGAGCCAUGGACGUGUUCAGGAAGGUCUUGUCACAGUGGCGCAGGACCGGCUGCUUCGCAUCUUCUGAGCCGGGACUGACAGGCAGAGACUAACCUAAUGUCCCAGGGACUUUAAUUCAGCCCCUAGUGUUGAUACUACCUCUCUGCUGCUGUCUGCCUAACGUAUGAAUACCUGUCUAUCUGUACUUACCAUCUUUCCAAUCUGACCAUUUCUUCACCUGGUCCCAGUUCUGCCAUUUCACUUAUUUCACUUAUGCCAUUUCACUAGAUUCAAUUCUACAGAUCAACUCUGACCUACAAUACCAGCAGUUCCUCUCCACAGACCUCCAUCUGGUUCUUUUGUCUCAUUCCUAUAGACUCCUUUACGUUUCCCAGUUCUGCCUUCUCAGACCUCUUUUAAAUGUCUUACCUCCUUAAUCCUCUGCAAGAAUUCUAUAACCUACACAGGGAGGGGUUGGGGUGACUCCUGUGGGUUUUUUGUUUUUGUUUUGUUUUAUUAACUUUAACAAGUUAGUUAUCUAGAAGAGGAAUCCCAAUUGGGAAAAUGUCUCUAUCAGACUUAUAAGUAGGUAACUCAAUGGGGCAUUUUCUUGAAUGCAAAUUGAUAGAAGUGGACGCAGCCCGUUGUGGGCGGUGCCACCACUAAGCCGAAGGUCAUGCGUGAAAUAGGAAAGCACUACGAAGGGGCUAAAUGGUUCAGCUUAAGAGCACUUGGCCUUCUCCUGUAAUUGGUGACUGCGCUAAUUGUCACCAGAGAGCAUUCAUCCAGUAACUGAUGGAAGCAGAUGCAGAGAUCCACAGUCAGGGAGGAGGAAUUGUACGAGUAAGAGGGAGUCAAGAUCGUAACUUGGGGAACCCAGAAACAGCUGACCUGAGAUAGUGGGAGCUAGGGAGCCUGCAUCAGACCGAUUUAGGCCCACUGCAUGUGGGUGACAGUUGUUUAGCUUGCCCUGUUUGUGAAGCCCCUAGUAGUGGGAUCAGGACCUGUCCCUGGCGCAUGAGCUGGCUUUUUGGAACCUGUUCCCGAUGCUGGGAUGCCUCACCCAGCCUUGAUGCAGGGAGAGAAGCUUGGUCCUGCCUCAACUUAAUAUAUCAUGCUUUGUUGACGCCCAUGGGAAGUUCGCGGCUUUCUGAACCAAGGAGUGGUGGAUGGGAGGUGGGAGGAGCGGGAAGAGAGGAAGGAGGGGAACUGUGAUUGGUAUGCAUUGGCUUCAGUAAACAAUGGACUGUGAUCUGUAAGCCAAACAAACCUUCUUCCCCAAGUUGCUUUUGUUCAUAGAAACCUAACCAAGAUAUAUUUACUGUGUGGUUUAUAACGUGUGAUUUGAGAAUUAACAAUAAGUUCUUAAAAAUAAGAAAAAACUUCGUGUCAGCCAAGAUUACCAAGGAAAGCAGGAAUACUUAGAAGCUUUCAUUGAAACUGCUAUGUCGUCAGGCGUUGGUGGCGCACGCCUUUAAUCCCAGCACUCAGGAGGCAGAGCCCAAUGGUGAGCUCCAAGUCACAUUCUCUAGGACACAAAAAGAGUGUCCCUCAAAUUCUUUGACAGGUUGGAAACUGAUAUGGGCCUGAUGGAUUUCCAUAAAGACAGAGUGAGGAGCUGUCAUAAACCUGAAGUUUCACCAUCCAGCUUCCAACCUUAGUUAUAAAGAACUGACCGGAUGGUGGAGAUUCCGACACAGUAAUAGCCUGGGCAGCAUCAGGUGGAGCUUCCAGCUAAGAUCUCUACUGUUAACUGUAGAGACUGAGCCUGUUUCUUUGAGGAAUUUCUGAUGGGAUGAUGAAUUUGGGGGCUCUGAUCAAGUCUGCAUGUGGAAAACUGUAGGCCAUGAUGAUCUAAGAUGCCUGCAGCUCAGUUCAGACCCAUCAUUAUCCCACGAAAGGAUUCUUGACAUACAGUAGAAGUGUGAAAACAGGGUUGAGAAGAACUCUUUGGAGGAGUGGACAGACAUCAGCCUGCUAAGAUGCUUUAAGAGAAUCACCACAUGAAUGAUAAGAUUUUCUUUGAAUUAAGUGAAAGUAACAAGUAUCCACAUAAAAAGACAAAUUAAUCAUUAAAACUGUUAUAAAAAUUA